CAAUAGCGUAUAUUAAAGUUGUUGCGGUUAAAAAGCUCGUAGUUGGAUUUCUGCUGAGAACGACCGGUCCGCCCUUUGGGUGUGUAUCUGGCUCUUUCUUGGCAUCUUCUUGGUGAACGUUGCUGCACUUGACUGUGUGGAGCGCUACCCAGGACUUUUACUUUGAGGAAAUUAGAGUGUUUCAAGCAGGCAUACGCCUUGAAUACAUUAGCAUGGAAUUAUAAGAUAGGACCUCGGUUCUAUUUUGUUGGUUUCUAGAGCUGAGGUAAUGAUUAAUAGGGAUAGUUGGGGGCAUUCGUAUUUAACUGUCAGAGGUGAAAUUCUUGGAUUUGUUAAAGACGGACUACUGCGAAANCANNNGCCAAGGAUGUUUUCAUNGA
rnacentral:rRNA from 1 species